CCUAUACCACCUUUACAUCAUUGAUUGCAUUUCUAUGUGAUGAUUAUAAACUGCUGAUUUAAAAUUUUUUUUUGUUUGUUUAUUUAAACAUAGGUAGAACAAUCUCCAUCUAGCAGCAAACUGAAAGUAAUGCAAACAGAUGAAUCCAAUAAAGAAACAGCUAACCUACAAGAAAGAAGUAUAAGCAAUG
rnacentral:sRNA from 1 species